UACGUAGGUGGCAAGCGUUGUCCGGAUUUACUGGGCGUAAAGAGCGCGCAGGCGGUCGUUCAAGUCGCGUGUGAAAGCCCCCGGCUCAACUGGGGAGGGUCACGCGAUACUGAUCGACUCGAAGGCAGGAGAGGGUAGUGGAAUUCCCGGUGUAGUGGUGAAAUGCGUAGAUAUCGGGAGGAAGACCAGUGGCGAAGGCGGGUCUCUGGACAGUUCCUGACGCUGAGGCGCGAAGGCCAGGGGAGCAAACGGG
rnacentral:rRNA from 1 species